rnacentral:rRNA from 1 species
GACGAACGCUGGCGGCGUGCUUAACACAUGCAAGUCGAACGGAAAGGCCCUGCUUUUGUGGGGUGCUCGAGUGGCGAACGGGUGAGUAACACGUGAGUAACCUGCCCUUGACUUUGGGAUAACUUCAGGAAACUGGGGCUAAUACCGGAUAGGAGCUCCUGCUGCAUGGUGGGGGUUGGAAAGUUUCGGCGGUUGGGGAUGGACUCGCGGCUUAUCAGCUUGUUGGUGGGGUAGUGGCUUACCAAGGCUUUGACGGGUAGCCGGCCUGAGAGGGUGACCGGCCACAUUGGGACUGAGAUACGGCCCAGACUGCUACGGGAGGCAGCAGUGGGGAAUAUUGCACAAUGGGCGGAAGCCUGAUGCAGCAACGCCGCGUGCGGGAUGACGGGCUUCGGGUUGUAAACCGCUUUCGCCUGUGACGAAGCGUGAGUGACGGUAAUGGGUAAAGAAGCACCGGCUAACUACGUG